rnacentral:lncRNA from 1 species
GUCCAAAUGGGUUAGACUUGAGUAGGUUGAAAAAAGACAUACAACCUUGGCAGGAACGGCGUUCCGCGGAAUAUAUGACUCAUGCUCCUUUAGGUUCUUUAAAUUCCGUGGGUGGUGUAGCUACCGAGAUCAAUGCAGUCAAUUAUGUCUCUCCUAGAAGUUGGUUAGCUACCUCUCAUUUUGUUCUAGGAUUCUUCUUCUUCGUAGGUCAUUUGUGGCACGCGGGAAGGGCUCGUGCAGCUGCAGCAGGAUUUGAAAAAGGAAUUGAUCGUGACCUUGAACCUGUUCUUUUCAUGACCCCUCUUAAUUGAGAUGAGACAGGAGAUCCAAUGCUUGAAUGAAGUACAAAUCACUUUGAUUCAAUCAUACAUCUUGGAAUCAGCUUAAGUAUUCCUUUUUUCUUUUUUUUUUCAACUCAUUUUAUCGAAUUUAUAUCGAAUCUAUUUUUCUGGCUUGGCUAGGUGGGAUAGCUGAGCAAUUCCCCUUUAUUUUGGAUAGAAGAUUGGGCAAAACCACUAAAGAAAAAAAUAUAUUCAAUUAGAAAAAAAAAGAGAGAGGGAUUCGAACCCUCGAUAGUUCUUUGUUCAAAACUAUACCGGUUUUCAAGACCAAGGCUAUCAACCACUCAACCAUCUCUCCGAAAGACUAUUUUUAUUUUAUUCCUCCGAAUAGAACAUGGCUAUAGGGGUGGAUACCCCCACUAUCUGUAGAAAGAUCUCAGGUGCGAACCCACCGGUCGAUCUAUCUAUCCGUAUAUAGAUAUAUGAUCUAGCAUGCCCAUUUGUGAAAUAAAAAAUAAAAUUCCAUUUCUCUCCUCUCUCCGCGCCACUCCAUGUACGAAUAAAGUGCAAAAGGGGGAGUAGUAAUAAGUCAUAUAGAAUCAAUGGAUUCGUGAUAAAGUAAAAUCCAAGAGUUCCGAAUCAAAUCUCUUUAGAAAGAAGAUCUUUUGUCUCAUGGUAGCCUACUCCAGUCCCCUUACAAAACUUUUGUUAUUGGGUUAGCCAUACACUUCACAUUUUUCUAGCGAUUCACAUGGCAUCAUAAGAUGAAGGAUUUUCCUUUUUUCAUACUACGACAUUGACUAAGCUAAGAGAAGGAUUUAGGACUGACGGAGAGACUGAGUCAAGCACUAUAGCACAAAGAUUAUCAUUCCCUUGCCUCAAAGAUUCAAAGCAAAAGAACCUUCCCCGCUACCUGGGGAGAAAGGAGCAACCUCUCUAUAGAAUGCAGUCAGAUGUUUGGGGUAGUGUAAGUGAUCAAGGGGUAGUAACUCAUAUCACGGGAGGAAACUUUUCUUAGCUAUUACCUUGACACCAAAGAAGAGUUCGACCCAAUGCUUUAUUUCUGUCCUAGUUGAUCCUGAUUCGACAUUAGAAGUAUAUUGAUUUUUCCCCAAUAACCAAAUACUUUUGUCUGUAAAUACUGCAUAUUAGAUUCUAUCUAUAAAUCGAUUUUCUUCCCUAUGAGUUAAAGUCUCAAUAAGAAUGCUAGUUCUUACUGUUCAUUAUGAUAUGAAUAUACCACAUCAAUUCGUUAUCUAUGGAUGAUGAGAUUCCAUUGACACAGAGCCAAUUCCAAUAGACUUAUUGGAGGGUCCCAUUGGCGUGCAUCCAGUAGGAAUUAGUCCAGGCCAGUAGCUGCUCCUGGCUUUCUCGGACAGCUAGAGCACCGACAGAUAGAGCGAACUGGAUUCUAUUUUUCAUUUGGUUUGGUUUAUUCUUUGACUUCUCUUCUCCCAAGAGAGACUUUUUCUUGCUCACGAAAAUCACCGGUUGGGUUGGUGGGAAAUUUACUAUUCAUUAUAGCAUGAAAACAUCUAGCGGUAUAAUCCCAUUUGCCAUAGCUAUUGCUAUAACAUUUAGAGAUGGUGGUGAAAAUCAAAGUAUGAGAGGUAGUCAAAUGGAAUCUUUGUUAGGAGAUAAGUAAGAGAGAAGGCGACACUAGCUAGCAGAACGGACGGAAUGAGAAAAAAGCUUGCUAGGCAGUCUACACAGAAGGGAAGUCACCAAACAUGGGAAAGAGAACCUUUUUCUUACUCGAAGGAACCACUACCAUAGGAUUAUUGUAGGAUACAUUCUGGGAAAAUCAAACUUCCAUCGAAGAGAAGCAAAUGAAAGGCUUUCAUCAAAAUUCUCGUAGAAUCGAGAAUGAAGUUUUCAUUCUGUACAUGCCAGAUCAUGAAUUAGUAACUGCUUCCAAUUAAAAAUCCCAAGAGAAUACUAUUAAAGACCUAGCAAGAUCACGUUCAUGGCGCUGGUCAUACCUAUUUUAAACUAGUUAAAUAAUAUCUUGACAUGAUAAAUAGUGAUGCCCACCUGUUCCAUACUUUCUUACUUGAUUUAAAGUUGGCAUCGAGUGCCUGCCUCACAUGCGACCUUCAGGUCUCUAAUGAAAGAGGAUGAUUGCACAUUACUAAGGCAAGGAAUAAGACGUCUGAGAAGGGAUGCCGAAAAAAGGCUUCAAUUCUCCUCCCUAUUAUUUGAUUAGUGUUGCCUGAAAAGAGUUCCCCAUAAGAGGGACAGUCAUAACAAGAUUAUGAUUAACGGUUUUAGAAUGGGGAUUCUAUAGGGACUUGGCGGCCCAUAAGGGGUUCAUACCACUAAAUGGAAGUAGACCAACAUAGGAAGAAAUGUGAAAGUAGGGGCUGCUAAGCGCCCAGACCUAGAAUUCAGUGAAAAUGAAGUUCUUGACGGGUACCUGCUGUGAGCACUAUAUAAUAAUAAUACUAUAAUAGCAACCUAUCUAAAAUAAAUAUGGAAGUAAGGCUGUAAAUGCCACAAGGUUCAUAACUAAAAACCAAUAUUGAAUACUAAAACACAUAUCUGAAAUACUCUAGUCUGAAAGACUCUAACUGUCAAAAUUAUAAAGCUGAUGGGACAAGCCCCCAACUAACUUCGACUACUGAAAACUGCACUAAAAUACUGAAAUAAUACUCUAUCCUUGAACUAUGAGGACUCACCACUAAGUCUGCUACUGAUAGGCUGGGCUGCUAAGUUCGGUCAGAAGCCCGUGCAUUUGAAACUAUGAUAUAAGACAUCAUGGCACAAUAGAAAGGUAUGCGUCAGUACUUUGAAUGUACUGGUAUGCUAAGUCAGGUAGGUAUAUAUGCAUAGGUUCAUGUGCAUGAACAAUAACUAACUGAGUAACAUGAACAUAACUGAAUGAGAGAAUAUGCAUGAAUACAUAAAUUGUAACUGAGAUCAUGUUAACACUGGUUACUGAGUUCUAAAUAUUAAUUAACUGAUAUCUGAGUUUACUGAUACUGUAAUACUGAUAAAUGAGUGACUAUUUUUGAUAGUCCUAAUUAAUUACUAGGUAACUAUUUCUGAUAGUCCUGAUUCUAUAAAACUGAAUUAAGUUCUAUACUGAGCUGGGUGACUGUAUCUGAUAGUCUUGAUUUUGUAAAACUGAACUAAGUUCUAUACUGAGACUGAAACUAAAAUUGAAACUGUGGGAGGUAAUCAUCUAACCAAUAUUCCCCUCUCUAAAUAGAUUGGGGUACAACCUGUAACCCCAGUUGGAAGGGUAUCAGUACUGUACCACGGGCAAAGACAAGCUGAGAGUUAACCCUCUCUGACAGGAAGCUCUUUUGUCAACCCUUGCUGGCAGGAAAACUCAUAUGAGAUGUAUCAACCCUAGUCUGGCAGGAAGAUAUCUUAACCUACAUUGGCUAUGUAGUUCUAUAGCAUAGGGAUUGAUACUAAGGGUCAAACCCUAGACUGGUAGGACUGCCCCCAUUCCUGGGUUCGCUCGAUACUGAAUCCUACUCCCAACUGAAUAGACACUGAACUGAUUUCUAGUCCAUACUAGGCUUGACUGAACUGUUAGUAGUCUUAUUAUCUAACUGAACUGAACUGAGUUUACUGGCUUCCGCUAACUGACGGAGUAGUACCGAAUUUGGUUAACUGACUAAGUUCACUAAGUUUUGAACUGAAUACUGAACUGAGACUGUGACUAAUUACUGAGUACUACUAUUCAUAACACUACUGCAUCUGUUUUGUAACUACUGUAGAUCUAGGUAAAUAGCUAAAUUUUUAGGUAUUGAAUACCCCCAGGACUCGAUAGCACGAAAUAUAAAGCAUAACACUGUGCACUUGUUCAUAACUCAUCCAUAGAGACAUUUUAUCAAACACUUAUAAGGCAUAAGUUUACACAUAUACUAGCAUGUCAUGAUUUUUCCCCAUUUAGUUCACAUGAGCACUUUAAUAAAUACUUGGGGAGCACUAAUAUGCACAUGAUACUAAACAAAAUAUAGGCAUCAUAACAUCAAUUCCCAAAUUCUCAAAUUCAAUGGCUUCAACAUAAAUUCACAUGAUACUACACACAUGAUAAUCAAUUCCAGAUGAAACUUGUAAUAAACUAUGGAUUAGAAACCCAAUUAACAUUAUAAUUAUGAAUACACUUAAAUGCAAUCAUGGAAAUCAUGAAAUCAAUCUACUUGAAGUUUAAGAAAAAGUUUCUUGAACUUCAAGGGUGAAAGGAACCCUUGGAUGAACACAUCAAGGGUGAAAGGAACCAUUGGAUGAACACUUCACAUACCUGGGUACUUGAAUUAAUAAAGGUUGAUGGUGCGUUCUUUAAUUUUAACCUUGAAUUAGAAGCCCAAGGGUUUUGUUCUUGAGUAAUUUUGAGAAUAGUGAAUGGAUUUUGCCUAAAAAGUGGCUAAAUCUCAUGUUUUGGGGGAUGAUAGAUGUGGGAAAAUGAUCCAAAUAUCCCUGAGGAUGUGUCCUUUUAAUGACUGAAAACUGACCUAGCGACGUGCAGACUGACAUGCCUCAACGAUGGGAUAGACGCGAUGGAUGAUGCGCCACAUUGAGUCCCCACCGAUUCACUAAAAAUUACACUAGGAGGCUAGGGAAAAUAUUCAUCGAUGCUAUAGGCAAUGUGGAGCAUUGAGAUUGUAUCGAUACACUGGUUUGGACUCCUAAACGUGCUUCAAAUGAUGUUCAAAAAAUCUAAAACUCUUCCGAGAACACCUACUGACAUUCCUGAUCAUGAAGCAACUUAAAGAUUGACCUUUAAUGGUCAUAAGGGUCAUGAGAUAAGAUCGCCAACUAUGAAGGCUAAAAUAACUCUAACUAUGAAUACUAAAAUUUUCUAAGUCUGGGACCCCUUAACAAGAUUUAAAGGACUAAAUUAAGAUUAGGAUUUUGUGGGGUCUUACAGUAUCUCCCCCUUGGCAAUAUUUGUCCUCGAAUAAGACUGACUAAGAUGGGAGAACUGAUAUACUAAAAUUACAAAAUGUACAUGCACAACUAAAGCAUGAUUUUAUGGAUGAGACUACUAAUAUGCUGAAUUAGCAUAACUAAAGCAUGAUUUCAUGGCUAAGACUACUGAUAUACUGAAUUAUCAUACUGAACAUGCGUAACUGAUGCAUGAUUUCAUAACUGAUAUUACUAAUCAGCUGAGUUUGUAUACUGAACAUGCAUAUCUGAUGCAUAAGUACAUGACUGAAUAGAUUCAUGAAUGCACAACUGAGUAUGCAAUGUUACUUGAUACCAAGUUGGUAACUACAUCUUAACAUGAAACUGAGUAAAUUUAUGAAAACUAUUACCUUGAGCUGAGUCUGAGUUUGUGGAGAAGAGGCGAGAAUACUUGGUACGCAUAUCUACUUCUUCUUCCCAAGUAGCUCCCUUAACAUACUGAUUCCGCCAAAGAACUUUUCUAAAGGGACUUCUUUAUUCCUCAGUCUGUAAAUCUAAAAAUCAAGGAUUUCGAUUCGAAUUUCCUCAUAAGAGAGGCUGUUCUGAACAUCUAUACCCUCUACAGGAACUACAACUGUUGGGUCACCUAUGCAUUUCUUUAUUAAGGAGACAUGAAACACUAGGUACACUGAAGCUAAGUCUAAAGACAACUCAAGCUCAUAAGCUACCUUUCUGAAAUGGCUGAGAAUUCAGUAAGAACCUACAUAUCAAGGACUGAGCUUCCCCUUCUUGCCAAACCUCUUCACUUCUUUCAUAGGAGAGGUUUUCAAAUACACAUAGUCACCAAUCUCAAACUCGAGAUCCUUUUUGCAUCUCAGCAUACAAUUUCUGUCGGCUCUGAGCUGUCAAAGGUCUUUUCCUGACCAACUAAACUUUUUCUAAGGUAUCAAAUACCAAGUCAGGCCCUACCACUGUGGCCUCACCCACUUCAAACCAACCAAUGGGAGAUAUACAUCUCCUCCCAUAGAGUACCUCAAACGGAGCCAUCCGAAUGCUGGAAUGGUAACUGUUAUUAUACGUAAACUCAAGCAAUGGCAAAUGGUCAUCCCAACUACCUUUAAAGUAAAUGGCACAUGCUCUUAGCAUAUCUUCUAGAGUCUGGAUGGUCCUUUCUACUAGACCAUCUACCUGAGGGUGGAAGAUUUUACUAAGGUAAACUUGGGUACCAAGACCCUUUUAGAAGGCUUUCCAGAAAUGAGAGGUAAAUUAGGUACCUCUAUCUGAGAUGAUGGAUAAUAGAAAUCCAUACAAUCUGGCCAAUUCUCUGACAUAGAGAUUGGCAUAAUCCUUGACUAAAUAAGAGUUAUGGACUAGUAAGAAAUAAGCUGACUUGGUCAUCCUAUCUAUGAUAACCCAAACUGAAUCAUUCUGACGAUGAGUACGGGGUAAACCCAUCACAAAGUCCAUGUUACUUCUUCCCAUUUCCAUAUGGGAAUACUGAACUCCUAUAUGUACCCACUAGGCUUUUGAUUUUCAAUCUUAACCUGCUGACAUGUUGAGCAUUUAGCUACAAACCCUGUAAUAUCUCUCUUUAUUCCACUCCAUCAAUAGACUUCCCAUAAGUCGUGGUACAUCUUAGUGGCCCCUGGAUGAAUAGAUUAGCGUGUGCCAUGUACUUCUGCAUGAAUCUACUGCCUUAAGUCAUCUAUACCUGGCACACAUAGCCGACCCUGGCAACGCAAUACACCAUCUCCCCCUUGGGAGAAAACCUCUAUUUUUUACCUCUAACUGACUCUUUCAACUUAACUAGACUGGGAUCUAUGUCUUGUUUUUCCUUCUACUCAGAAACCAGAGAUGAUUCUAAACUACUUUGCACCCAUACACUACCUUCUGCUGAAUCGACUAAGCGGAUACCUAGUCGGGCAAGCUGAUGAACUUCCUACACUAACUUCUUAUUAUCAUCUUCCACGUGAGCAAUACUACCCAUAGACAUCCUACUGAGAGCAUCAGUUACUAUAUUGGCCUUGCUCGGAUUAUACAGGAUACUUAUGUUGUAGUCUUUCAACAAAUCCAACCACCUUCUCUGAUGGAGGUUUAGGUCUUUCUGAGAGAACACAUACUGAAGGCUCUAAUGGUCUGUGAACAUACCAAAAUGUACCCCAUACAAGCAGUGCCUCCAAAUCUUUAAGGCAAAUACUACAGCUGCUAACUCAAGAUCAUAAGUUGGAUAGUUCUUUUCGUGGGGCUUAACCUAUCUAGAGGCAUAGGCUAUGACCUUACCUCUCUAUAUCAAAACACACCCCAAACCAACUCUGGAGGCAUCACAAUAUACCACAAACCCAUCUGAACCAUCUAGUAGAGUCAAAACUAGAGUUGUAGUAAGUCGAGUCUUCAACUCAUGAAAACUCUUCUCACAAGAAUUUGACCACUGGAACUUAACUUUUUUUGAGUCAAUCUGGACAUAGGGGAUACAAUAGACAAAAAAUUUUAACAAACUAUCGAUAAUAGCUAGCUAAGCCUAAGAAAAUUAGGAUAUCUAAUGGAGAGAUGGGUCUGGGCCAGUUUCUCACUGCUUUGGUCUUUUAAGGAUCCACUCUAAUGCCAUCACCAGAAACUAUAUGCCAAGGCAAGCUGCUGACCUUAUCCAAAAUUUGCACUUACUGAAUUUGACGAACAACUGAUGGUUUCUUAGAGUCUGUAACAAUAUUCUGAGAUGGUCUUCAUAAUCAUGUUCACUAAGGGAGUAGACAAAAAUGUUAUCAAUGAAGACUAUGACAAAUAUAUCCAAGUACUGCUUAAACACAUGGUUCAUCAAGUCCAUGAAAGCUGUUGGGGCAUUGGUGGGAACAAAUGAUAUAACUAGGAAUUAUAAGUGACCAUACCGAGUUCUAAAAGCUAUUUUCGGAAGGUCACAUUCUCUGACUCUAAGCUGAUGAUAACCUGAUCUGUCUAUCUUAGAAAAAUAACUAGCACCCUGAAGUUGGUCAAAUAAGUUAUCAAUUCUGGAAAGUGGAUACUUGUUCUUGACCAUGACUUUAUUCAACUGACGGUAGUCUAUACACAUUCUAAGAGAACCAUCUUUCUUACACAUUAAUAGAACUGGUGUACCUCAAGGGGAUACGCAGGGUUUGAUAAAUCCCUUAUCUAGGAGAUCCUUCAACUGUUUUUUAAUUCUUUGAGUUCUGUUGGAGCCAUUCUGUAUGGCAAAACAUAUAUGGGCUGAGUAUCUGGAAAAAGGUGUAUUUUGAAGUUAAUUUCCCUCUCGGGAGGAACUCCGAGAAGAUCAUCAGGAAAUACCUUUGGGAAAACACAUACUACUGGAACUAACUCAAGAUUGGGAGUAUCGAAACUAAAAUCUUUGACUCAAACAAGAUGAUAGACACACAACCUAGAUAUCAUUUUUCUCGCCCUUAGGUAAGAAACAAGCUGACCCUCAAAUGCUGAGGUACUUCCCCUCCAUUCUAAGAUAGGUUCAUUCAAAAACUAAAAUUGGAAAAAUUUCUUUCGGUAGUCAACUGAGGCAUAGGAUAAAUGAAGCCAAUCCAUGCCGAGAAUGACAUCAAAAUACAUCAUCUCUAGUUGUAAUAAGACUACUGAAGUGACUUUCUGAGAUACCAUGACUAGAAAGCUCUUGUAUACCCAUUGGGCUAUGAUAGAUUUACCCAUUGGGGUAGAGACUGAGAAAGAAACUACUAGGAUUUUGGUACUGACUCCAAAGUUAAAAGCUAUACAAGGAGUUAUAAAGGACAAGGAAGCUCCUGGAUCUAGAAAAGCAUAAACAUGCAAAUGAUAAAAUUGUAACGUACUAAUGACCAUAUCAGGAGAACUUUUAUAAUCCUGUCAUGACUAAAAUGCAUAGAGUCUAUUUGGGCUUGGCCCACUGGUGGUACUGGAAGCGGCACCCUACUGAUUCAGGCAAUCAACUAAGCUGGGGGAUGAUUAUGCUGACUUUGAAAACCCACCUGAGGAUACUAUCUAACCCUAUGUCCUGGCUUGCCAUAUCCAAAACAUACAUCACUUCCAGCUCUGCAAAUACCCUGAUGGUUUCUGCCAUACUUCUGGCAGAGAGGAUUUGUUUGGACACUGCUAACACUACCCUAGGGUUUAGGGCCUGAUACCCUAUAUCUAUUGUAGCCUUUAAAUUUUGGCACUGAAGCACUGGUUGAGGAUGGAGCUGGAACUUAAGAUUUUGGGAAGAACUGAGAAUGAUUCCCACCCUCUGACUUAGGUUGAGUGAAGUUGAAGCUACCUGUCCUAGCUCUCUUAUUCUCCCGAUCCUUCUCUUUAUUCUUGGCCUCUUCUAUCUACUGAGCGUGGACCAUGAGCCUGGAUAAGUCCAUCUCCCUAAUCAAUAUUGUCGUCCUACAUUUCUUGACUACACUAUUAGGCACACCUAAAAUAAAAUUACUCAUCUAAGAUCUGCUAUCUGCUACCACAUGGGGGGCAUAUCUGGCUAACUGAGUAAACUUGAGAGAAUACUUUUGUACUAUCAUAUUGCCCUACUUCAGAUUAAUAAACUCUAAAACCUUUAUUUUUCUCAACUCUAGUGGGAAGAACCUAUCCAGAAAAGCAAUAGCAAACUCUUCCCAUUCUAUGGGCACUGCACCUGUGGCCCUCUCUAUUUUCCACUAUUUAAACCAUGAGUGAGCCACAUUCUAUAACUGAUAUAUGGCCAACUCAGCACUCUUACUAGCAGUUACCCCCAUGAUAUUUGUAACUUUCUGUACCUGAUUAAGAAAUUCUUAUGGGUCCUCAUCUGAUAUCGACCUGAUAAAAGGGGAAGGAUUCAUUAGAGUGAAGUCCUGAAUCCUGGCUACAGCAGUAUUGGCCAUUGGGUUAGCCGGAAAGAGAACUGGGUAUUUAUUUUGGGCUACCACAGAAUGAGAUAGGGUGGUGAAAGUUGCUCUGAAUUCUGGAUGGAAGACAUGCUCGUCCAGAGGAUCUAGCUGGAUGGGCUGAGGCGCUGGUUGAUUUUCUAUUUUUCUUCCAUUCUUCUUUAAAGGCAUGUUCUGUAAAUGGAAGGGAGUAAAGUAUUAGACUAAGAGUUUAAUUUGAGCUUAUGCUCACUUAUAUGACGUGAAUACUAAAAGAAGGAAAACUUUUCCUAAAACAUCUCAUAGCCUCUUGUCCAUAAGUGUGGUGCGCUACACACCCAUUCACAAGACUCUACUAGUUACAGCUUUCAGACUUCCUAGGCCUCUUUUGAGUCUUAGACUCUGAUACCAAGUUUAUAACACCCCGAUUCUAUACCCCGGAUGCUACACGGUGCUAGUGACCCCAAAGAACUACCAGCUAACCCAUAACUGGUACCUACUAUGAGCAUUGUAUAAUAAUAAUACUGUAAUAGCAACCUGUCUAAAGUAAAUAUGGAAGUGAAGCUGUAAACACCAUAAGGUUUAUAACUGAAAACCAAUACUGAAUACUGAUAACUGAAUACUGAAACACAUGUCUGAAAUACUCUAGCCAGAAAGCCUCUAACUGUCAAAAUUAUAGAGUUGAUGGGACAAGCCCCUAACUAACUUCGACUACUAAAAACUGCACUGAAAUACUGAAAUAAUACUCUAUCCUUAAACUAUGAGGACUCACCACUAAGUCUGAUGUUGAUAGGAUGGGCUGCUAAGUACGGUCAGGAGCCUGUGUAUCUAAACCUAUGAUAUAAGAUAUCAUAGCGCAAAACAAAGGUAUGCGUCAAUACUUUGAAUGUACUGGUAUGCUAAGUCAGGUAAGCUGAUAUGCAUGGGUUCAUGUGCAUGAACAAUAACUAACUAAGUAACAUGAACAUAACUAAAUGAGAGAACAUGCAUGAAUACAUAAACUAUAACUAAGAUUAUGUUAACACUGGUUACUAAGUUCUAAAUAUUGAUUAACUGAUAUCUGAGUUUACUAAUACUGUAAUACUGAUAAAUGAUUGACUAUUUCUGAUAGUAUUGAUUAAUAACUGGGUGACUAUUUCUGACAGUCCUGAUUCUGUAGCACUGAACUGAGUUCUAUACUGAGUUGGGUGACUGUAUCUGACAGUCUUGAUCCUGUAGAAAUGAACUGAGUUCAAUGCUGAGACUGAAACUGAAACUAAAACUAUUGGAGGUAAUCAUCUAAUUGGCAUGCCCCUCUCUGAAUGGAUUGGGGUCCAACCUAUAACCCCAGUUAGAAGGGUGUCAGUACCGUUCCAUGGGUAAAGACAAGCUGUGAGUUAACCCUCUCUGAUAGAAAGCUCUUUCAUUAACCAUCGCAGUCAGGAAAACUCGUAUGACAUGUAAAAAACCUAGUCUGGAAGAAAGGUAUCUCAACCUAUGUUGGCUAUAUAGUUUUGUAACGCAGGGAUUUCUACUAAGGGUCAAACCCUAUGCUGGCAGGCAUGCCCCCAUCUCUGAGUUCGCUCAGUGUUGAAUCCUACUCCCAAUUGAAUAGACACUAAAAUGAUUUCUAUUCCAUACUAGGCUUGACUGAACUGGUACUGAUCUUACUGUCUAACUAAAUAAAACAAAGUUCACUAGGUUCUUCUAACUAAUGGAGUACUACCAAAUCUGGUCAACUGACUGAGUUCACUGAGUUCUGAACUGAAUACUUAACUGAGACUGUGACUGAUUAUUGAGUACUACUAUUCAUAACACUAAUCGGACUGUUCUGUAACUACUGUAGAUCUAGGUAACAACUAAAUUUUUGAGUAUUGAAUACCCCCAGGACUCGAUAGCAUGAAAAGUAAACUAUAGAGUAAACUUGAAAAGCAUAACACUGUGCACUUGUUCAUAACUCAUCCAUAGAGACAUUUUAUGAAACACUUGUAAGGCAUAAGUUACACAUAUACUAGUAUGUCAUGACUUUUCCCCAUUUAGUUCACAUGAGCACUUUAACAAAUACUUGGGGAGCACUAAUAUUCACAUGAUACUAAACAAAAUAUAGGCAUCAUAACAUCAAUUCCCAAAUUCUCAAAUUCAAUGGCUUCAACAUAAAUUCACAUGAUACUACACACAUGAUAAUCAAUUCCAGAUGAAACUUGUAAUAAACCAUGGAUUAGAAACUCAAUUAACAUUAUAAUCAUGAAUACACUUAAAUCCAAUCACGGAAAUCAUGUAAUCAAUCUAUUUGAAGUUUAAGAAAAAGUUUCUUGGACUUCAAGGGUGAAAGGAACCCUUGGAUGAACACUUCACAUACCUGAGUACUUGAAUUAAUGAAGAUUUAUAGUGAGUUAUUUAAUCUUUAACCUUGAAUUAGAAGCCCAAGGGUUUUGUUCUUGAGUAAUUUUGAGAAUAGUGAAUGGAUUUUGCCUCUAAAGUGGCUAAAUUUCGAGUUUUGAGGGCUGAUAGAUGUGGGAAAAUAACCCAAAUGCCCCUAAGGACACGACUUUUAAUGACUGAAAACUGACCUAGCGACGUGCCACAUCGAUGGGAUUGAUGUUAUGGAUGACACGCCGCAUCGAUGGGAUUGACGUGACAGAUGACACGCCACAUCUAGUCUGCGUCGAUUCACUGGAAAUUGCACUGGGAGCUGGAGAAAAAUAUUCACCAAUGCGAUAAGCAAUGUGGCACGUUGAGAUCCCAUUGAUACACUAGUUUGGACUCCCAAACGUGCUUCAAAUGAUGUUCGAAAAAUCUUAAACUCGUCCAAGAACACCUACUAACAUUCCUGAUCAUGAAGCAACUUAAAGAUCGAUAUGUAAUUACCGUAAGGGUCGCGAGAUAAGAUUGCCAACUAUAAAGGCUAAAAUAACUCUAAGUAUGAAUACUUAGCUAAAAUUUUCAAAGACUGGGAUCCCUUAACAAGCUUUAAAGGACUGAAUUAAGCUUAGAAUUUUGCAGGGUCUUACACUAGUUGAAAUAGACAUUCUAACAAUCAUUCCAGCACCUUCAUUGUAUCUGAAUCCAUUCAUUUUAGAAAUUAUUUUACCACCCCAAUACAAAGCAACCAUCACAUUUUCUACAAAAUUAGACAUUUUUCUGCUAUACACAAAUAUAAUGUAUGUAUUAUAAUUAUUAAAACAUCAAAAUAAUUUUAAUGCAUUGCAAAAUAUUGGUUAGUCAUACCCAUAAAAAAUUUGUAAAUGUUGUUUCCAAAAUGAAGCACAUAAGCAAAAGCUUUGGUUAAAAUUGUAAAAAUGUGUUGAACAUUCUACACAAACCAUCUCUUAUAAUAAUCUGUUGUCCUAAAAUGUCAUUGCCAAUAGCAUUUUAUUCAUAAAUCAAUCAACAAGAUUCCUACUUUGUAGGUCCAUGCUUUGAUUCGAUAGAAACGUUAUUCACAGUAACGUUUUAAUCUUAAAAUGUGACUAUUGAUUAUGAUUUUAAUGUGAAAUUUUGUUCAAAAAGGCUAAUGGGAGUUGAUUUCAUAGAUUCGUUAUUCGGAGUAACUUUGUAACGACCCGAGACUACCCCCUAGUCGUCACAUGAUGCUUGGAACCAUAAGUGAUCCCAAACUAACCUAUAAACUGGCACACUAUUAAGCAACUGAAUUAUAAUAAAAUGAAUAACAUGUUUUGUUGUGAGAAAACAUAAUCAUACUAAAAAUCUAUAAUAGAUACAAUACUGAUAAAGCUUUAUAAUCUGAUAAAUAUGAAGGAUGAAACUGAAAUUACAUGACUGACUUUGACUGACAUCUAUAAAGCCUCUACUAUACUGACUAUAGAUAGCUGGGACAUGCCUCCAACUACCACUAAUCAAUACACAUGAAAGUAAAUGAAUUAUACAUGAACUAAAAUUAUCUGGAGUUCCCGAAGUAAGAGAACUCAUCACCUACUGGCUGGAAUUUAUAACUGUUUAAUCAUGAUGUACGGGCUACAACUGGUACCUACAUUAUGAAACAAUGUAGCCACACAGACGUAUAUGUGGAUCAGUGUUUCUAGAAUGUAAUGAUUAUGGAGGGGUGAAUGCAAUAAGUAAAAUUAAUUUCAUACGUAAUCGUAAAACAUGCAUGCUAAGUGUAAGUAGACUCACCAAUAGGCUGGAAUAAACUGAAAACUGAAAUAUCUUAAAGCAUGAGUGACAAACAUUUUCUGAUAAGAUGGUGAAUCUCUACACUUAGUUUCUGUAAACUUUACUUUAAUGAUAUAAGUAUAACUGAAGCUGGGAUAUGAUAAAACAUGGAUACUAUAUGAAUAAUGGGUUUGAAACUACUUGAUGGAGACUGACAUAAAUUAUGGAUCUGAAUAUACAAUCACACUGAGCAUGAAUGCAUAAACAUACUAACUUCUCUGAUUAACUGAAUGACUGAUAGCUGAAUACAGGGCAUGUAGGACUAAACUGUACUUAGUCUGAAUAACUAGACUAAAACUAUAGAGGAUUAUAGAUAUGAGGUAGGGACUGAAUGAGUAACAUAAGAUAACUGAGCAUGAAUUCAUGAAAACUGUAUUAUCUGAGAAUGCAAGACCAAGUGUAUAACGUGAUUCUGAAAUAGUCGGUAAUCUGAAGUACUGAAAUACUGAUAACUGAAUAGCUAAUAACUGUACGCUAUGGUCAAGCAAACCUGAAACUGAACUGAUUAUUGGACUGAGCUCACUGAGUUCUGUAAAUAACUGAGUACUACUAUUCGUGACAUUACUGAGACUAUUCUGUAGCUACAGUAGCUCUAGUUAAACAGGACUCGAUAACAAAAACACCAAGACCAUACUAAGGCUUUGAGGACAUAAUAAAUAGUCAUUAUUUAAAGAAGCUCAUCACUUGGGCAUUUUAUCAAACAUGCAAUUCAUGGUUUAAACUAAGCAUGGGGAUAGUUUUAGACAUGUAGCAAUAUCAUGAAUUCAAUAUUAAAUAUUGCCAAUUAAGGUUUUAAUAUGGGAUAAUUCAUCAAACACAUGGGGAUCAUGAACUUGAACAUUGGAAUAUCUUAAACAUGGGAGCAUAGCAUGAUUACAUAAUGAAAAUCAUGAAUUAGGGAAUUCACAUGUAAUUCACUUGAAAUAGGACAUGGGCAUUUCAUCAAAACAUGUAAAGUUUAUAGCUUAAACAUAAGAAUGUCUUAAACAUGAGAGUACAAUAGGGUUCCAUGGCAAAAUUCAUAACUUGGAAAUUCAUCUUGAAAUUAAUUGGACAUGAUAUGGGAAUUUCAUCAAACAUGUGGAAGGCAUUCAUUUAAAACAUGGGGAUAUUACUAGACAUCAUGAAUUUAAGAUCUAUCAUGGAAUUUACUUGGAUAAAGCAUGGAAAAACACAAAUUCAUAGCAUGAGGAAUUCGAAAUCUUGGAUGAAAUCAUACAUGGGCUGAAUUGAAUUAAAAAUACCAUGAAAACAUGAAAUUCAAUCUUUCUUGAACAUAAAAAAUACUAUAGUAAUGGAAAAUUCAUUCUUUAAUUAAGUAAAAAGGGUUUUGGGGCUCCAUGGGUGAAAGAAGACCCAUGGAUGAACUCCCACAUACCUUAAAGCUUUAAUCUUGAAGGAGAAACACAAUCUUAAAAGCAUUCUUGAAUUAGAAAAUUUUUCUUGCUUUUGUUGAAGAAAAUUUGAUGAAGUUCUUGGUGUUCUUAAGGAGGCUAGGGUUUUUCUUUGAUAAAAAAGAUGAAUAAUGAAGUGUAUAUUGCUUUGGGGGGGCUGAAAUUAAGUGUUAUGAGCGUAUUUGGGUGAGGAGGACUGACCAAAGUGCCCCUACAACCUUUAAAAACUGAAUUACCGUGUGAAAUAGUUCCGUAAUGCGCUGGCCGACGCGUCGCGUCGCUAUCGCGUCGGCUUACUAGCUCACACGGGAAAUGCCAUAACUUUUCGCUCGGGUAUCAGAUUUAGGCAAAAUUGGUAUCGUUGGAAAGCUAACUCAAUCAUCUACAAUUUGGUUGGUCUUGAGAUACAAAAUUAUACAUAUAUACAAAGUUAUACACAUUUGAAGUAGACCCUUGUAGAAUCGAAUACCAAACUUUGGACGAAUCAAAGGCUCUAAGCUCAACUUUAUUCUAAGUGAUUCUUAUGAACAUUUUUCACCUCAAAAGAAAAUCAAACAUGAGGAUAAAGAUCAUGAAAUUCAUAUUCGCAUGGUAAUCAUUUAGAUCAUGGCUUAUAUAUGUAGGAACGAUGGUUCAAAGGCUAGCCUGAAAAUACAGAGCAUUACAAAUGUUUUACAUCUAAAACAUUAUUGGUAGUAACGAAUUUAAUGUCAAAUUUGUACAAAGAUUCUAUUGUGGCAGAGCUGUAGAGUUUCAUAACUCAUAGUAACGUUUUAUGUCAAAAACAUUACUGACAGUAACAUUUUCUAUUUUAACAUCUACAAACAGUUCUUUUUUAGCCGUUAACUUUUUUUAAAACAUAAUGUGUUAUUAGGAACAAUGUUUAUACUAUUUGGUAAGGUUUUAAAAAAAACAUACUAUUUCUGUGAAUUGAUUUAACUAAUGUCUUAUUUUGGUCCAGAACUCGCUUCUUUCAGCCUAUGAAAAGUUCAAAUAUGGACUUAAUUAAAGAUCUGAGGAAUCCAACUACUCCAUUUCGAGGUUCUCUACAUCACAUGCCAUCGAAUACAGAGAGAGGUGCCACACCUAGUGAGAUACCGGUGUUUAAGGCUAAUUCUACUUCUUCCUUUUUCACAACAUCCAUAAGUGUGUUAGUUGGUGCUUAUCGAAUACACUUUGAUCCCAAUAGCACAAUUGGAUCAAAUUAUGCAAAACCAGUUAUUGCAUAAUGCUCGGAUCCAUAAAUUAGAAGUAGAACUAAAUCCCUACAUGACUAAUAAGAUUAGGUCAGUUGUGUGGGUGGUUUAGAACUGCCUUAAUAGUUUUAGGAGCCGGGUGAUGGCUAGUUUAGAUAAGUUUUAGGGCCCAGACAUAAGUAUUAUUACUUUAGACUUGGCCAUGUUAAAGGGAGCGAUCAAGGAGCUUACAAAGUGGACCGUCCUAGUUGUGCCUCCUCUACUUCCAGUUAUGAUACAAGAAGCACAAGGUAAACAUGAAACAUACACCAAAUCAAUCCACAAGUUUAAAGAACCGAGGACCCCUUUGGUGACCACUCUCGGAUUCACUACAACAAUAAUGAAAACACAAUAACAACAAGAUAUUGAAGGUUUAAAUACACCAAAAAAGCAACAAUAUGGUUAGAUGGACAACAAUAAUAAGAUAGGAACAACACACGAUUUUACUAACAAGAGAUAGAAAUGGUUACAAGAACACAAACUACUACAAGAUUACAAUAGAAACGGUUACAAGAACACAAACUACUACAAGAUUACACACAACAUUCACCUAUCUAUUACGAAGACACAAGGUCGGAAUCCACCUCCGAAGCAUCACGUUUCUAAGCCAUGAGAUCAACAAGAGUGAUUCCACACUCUCUAUGCCUAAUUUCGGUUUUGUACCUCAAGGAGAGAGGACUUGUGUUUCUUUGUGUUUCAAGACUUAAAACAUCAUGAAUAAUCUAAAUCUAAAAUCCCUACAAUGUUCUAUUUAUACUAGGCUACAAAUAAAAUACAAAAUGUCCAAAAUGCCCUUUUAAGAGCUAGGCUCCCUUCAAGUGUAUUUAGGGGCUGCCUCGUUGUGUUUCAAGGCUCCUCUUUACACUCCAAGUGUGAUAUUAGGGUCGGUUUGGUGUGUUUUAAGUCCUUAAAUCGCACACUCCAAGCCCAGGGUUCAUUACAUUCUUACAUGCAUCCAUCUUCGUGGUCGUACUUGUAUCAUCCUCCCCUUCUUAAAAAGAAUUCAACCUCAAAUUCAUUCCUUGCAAAAUCAAAGAGAGACAAACAAUCAGACUUCCUCAUGGCAUGAGGGUUAGGAUUAGAAAAAAUAAACAAUAAUGGUAUGCACUCAAAACACUCAAAAUAGCCCACACAAAAAAAAAAAAGAAACCGAGGACCCUUUGAGUUCAAGUCUCAGCCAACAACAAAUAUUGGCAUGCCAAGGUGGUUCAUAUUUGACAUAUAACCAAGAGUCCUUAGUGUUAAACAUUAUGAAUCCAUCGACAAAUUCACCAAGGACUUGGCUAUGAUAAGUACCCAAAAGAAACACACCUAAGCCGAGAGUAAAUCUUCCCCACCCUAAGAUGGCACCGGGAUCAAAUGGGAAGAGUGGCCAUAGACACGGGUCUAAACAAAACACCCAUUUCCUGUAGUCUUUACCACAACCACAUGGCCUACUCUCUACAUUGGCAUACAUAUCAUCACAAGUAAAGAGAGAGUAGAGAAAAGUGGUACUCAAUUCUACUUCUACUAUGGUGUCCUCAGAAAAGCCACACAAAGUAGAAGAAGAAGUAGUUUUCAAGACCACACAUUCCUUACCCUUAAGAGCAGUCUCAUCUUUCAAGAAGAGAUUUCUAUCUUUAGGAGGGAUAUUGUCACACCAUAGUAGGUUAUCAUAUAUGCUAUAGCUUCCAAGGCAAGCUAUACCAUCAUUUUCACCACUAGGUCUAUUAGGAGUGUUUAAACUAUCUUUAAAUAAGACAUUGUACCUAAAGAGUAAAUGAUCUAAACUGCUGACAGAUUUGGAACUUUCACUCUCUAAGGAAUCAUUAUCAAGUUCCAAAGUUAUGUCAAGCACACAAUUAACCCUAUGAGCCAAGCAAACAUUAGAAUCAUUACAACAACAUAGGCUCACGGGUUCACUCCUUUUUUCUUGACCAAUAUUUUCAAAUUCUUCACUCAUUUGAGACUCAUUAAUCAUAUCACACAUAUUCUCAAGUGGUGGGAAAGUUUUACACAUAAGUUGGUCAACAUAAUUUUCAUACGACGAUGUACUUUCAUUCAACACAAUAGUUUCAACACUAGGUGGACACAAAUCAAUCUUACUAGAAGAGUCGAUUUAGUCAUCUAUAAGAUCAACUAGUGUAUCCACUCGCACAAUAUUUACAUUAACUACAAAUGGUAAGGAAUCAAUAUACUCAUACGUAGGUAAGCUACUACUCACAUUCAAUGGCUUAUUAGUCACACGUUCAUCAUCCACAUGUACCAAAGUGUACGAGAUAGCUAUUUUACAUUGACAUUCAUGACUAUGUUCGUCUUUACCUUGGUGUGAAAGUCCUUCACAAGUUUGAGCAACAACUUCCUUCGGGAAGAUCUCACCGCAAGGUGUUUGGACCUUAGAUUUUGGAUUUGUUGGGAUAAGUGUGGAUACCAAUUAGCGUAGCCUUUCAACGUUCCAUUUCAUGUCUUCAAUAUUAUCGAUGAUGUGGUCAAACGUGGCAUCGAGAUUGGGGGCAGCCAUGGUACUUAAAAGAAAAGACAACAACGAACAAUAAAACAAACAAACUUGUUAGCUCAAAAAUGCCUCACCACACUCUCACUCUCAAUUUUUACCUCACACUUGGUUUCACAAGUGUUGAAAGCCCACUUAUACUUUGUGAGUGAUUAAGAGAGGAGUCCACCUUGGUCUGAAAUAGAUUUUCAUUCAAUUUGACUAAAAGAAAAUUUGAUUAUGGACUUGAACCAACAAGAUACAAUGAAUUCACAAAAGAAAAAAGCACACAAAGAAUAUUAACACGAACAAACGAAUACAAAACUAAUUUACAAUCUAGUAGGAGUUUACUAGCUUGUCAAUUAGCAUUCGGACCAAUCAAAUGAAACUAAGGAACAAUAAAAUAAACUAAGAAAAUCUGAAAUUUGAGCCAAAAUUAUUGUAUGAACAGUAACAAUGAUGACAUGGCAGCACGUUUCUAACAAUUUUUGUUGUCCAAUCUCAAGUCUUGGUCAAUUUACAAUUUAGGAAUUGGUGGAAUUUGUUUUAAGGAGGGAAAUUAAAACAAGUAUUAGAGCCUUUUCAAAUUCAAGUUUCCAAGACUUUGACUUUUUGGUACUUCUCCUUACAACAUGGAUCCUUGUUUUAUGGAAAGUUGUUGGAAAGUGGUUGAGAUGUGAUUGACUAUUUGAUGAGUGAUGGUAAGUCUUUCAAAACUAACAAAGCUCCACCCCUUUUUCCUUCACCUUUAUAGAUCUAAUAUUCACUUUAUAUUAACAAGAUAUAAAGGUUGUGAAGAACUUCAAGAACAACAUCAACAAUCACCAAGAACAACCGACAACAAUCUCUAAAAAUACCACAAUUUUCACACGGCCAACUUCUAAUUUUCACAAUACAAUAUCUUUAACACUUGGCCAAGACAACUACAAUUUCAACAAAAUAGUUCUUAGGCCACCAAUAAACAACAAUAUCACGUGGCCAAGCUUAUAACAACAACAAGAUGAAGACCACAAGGCCAAAACAGCCCACCACAACAAUGUUUCAACAACAAUUCAGCCAAGCCCUAUGUUCACAAAAACAACACCAACAAUGUAAGCUCAAACUUAGAUUUAGACUCAAGAGUGUUAGAGAUGAAGAAAACUAACUGUAGAAACAACAAAACAAGUAAAAAUCUCGGCGAAGACACAAUAAUAACACAAUUUCGGCCAAGAACACAAAAUGGACAGAUUUGCUUCUUUUUUAUUUUUCAGUUUUCUAACACUUUUUUUUUU